CUAUGUGUUGUUGGGUAGGGGAGCGUUCUGUAAGCCUGUGAAGGUGGCCUGUGAGGGUUGCUGGAGGUAUCAGAAGUGCGAAUGCUGACAUAAGUAACGAUAAAGCGGGUGAAAAGCCCGCUCGCCGGAAGACCAAGGGUUCCUGUCCAACGUUAAUCGGGGCAGGGUGAGUCGACCCCUAAGGCGAGGCCGAAAGGCGUAGUCGAUGGGAAACAGGUUAAUAUUCCUGUACUUGGUGUUACUGCGAAGGGGGGACGGAGAAGGCUAUGUUGGCCGGGCGACGGUUGUCCCGGUUUAAGCGUGUAGGCUGGUUUUCCAGGCAAAUCCGGAAAACCAAGGCUGAGGCGUGAUGACGAGGCACUACGGUGCUGAAGCGACAAAUGCCCUGCUUCCAGGAAAAGCCUCUAAGCAUCAGGUAACAUCAAAUCGUACCCCAAACCGACACAGGUGGUCAGGUAGAGAAUACCAAGGCGCUUGAGAGAACUCGGGUGAAGGAACUAGGCAAAAUGGUGCCGUAACUUCGGGAGAAGGCACGCUGAUAUGUAGGUGAAGCGACUUGCUCGUGGAGCUGAAAUCAGUCGAAGAUACCAGCUGGCUGCAACUGUUUAUUAAAAACACAGCACUGUGCAAACACGAAAGUGGACGUAUACGGUGUGACGCCUGCCCGGUGCCGGAAGGUUAAUUGAUGGGGUUAGCGGCAACGCGAAGCUCUUGAUCGAAGCCCCGGUAAACGGCGGCCGUAACUAUAACGGUCCUAAGGUAGCGAAAUUCCUUGUCGGGUAAGUUCCGACCUGCACGAAUGGCGUAAUGAUGGCCAGGCUGUCUCCACCCGAGACUCAGUGAAAUUGAACUCGCUGUGAAGAUGCAGUGUACCCGCGGCAAGACGGAAAGACCCCGUGAACCUUUACUAUAGCUUGACACUGAACAUUGAGCCUUGAUGUGUAGGAUAGGUGGGAGGCUUUGAAGUGUGGACGCCAGUCUGCAUGGAGCCGACCUUGAAAUACCACCCUUUAAUGUUUGAUGUUCUAACGUUGGCCCGUAAUCCGGGUUGCGGACAGUGUCUGGUGGGUAGUUUGACUGGGGCGGUCUCCUCCUAAAGAGUAACGGAGGAGCACGAAGGUUGGCUAAUCCUGGUCGGACAUCAGGAGGUUAGUGCAAUGGCAUAAGCCAGCUUGACUGCGAGCGUGACGGCGCGAGCAGGUGCGAAAGCAGGUCAUAGUGAUCCGGUGGUUCUGAAUGGAAGGGCCAUCGCUCAACGGAUAAAAGGUACUCCGGGGAUAACAGGCUGAUACCGCCCAAGAGUUCAUAUCGACGGCGGUGUUUGGCACCUCGAUGUCGGCUCAUCACAUCCUGGGGCUGAAGUAGGUCCCAAGGGUAUGGCUGUUCGCCAUUUAAAGUGGUACGCGAGCUGGGUUUAGAACGUCGUGAGACAGUUCGGUCCCUAUCUGCCGUGGGCGCUGGAGAACUGAGGGGGGCUGCUCCUAGUACGAGAGGACCGGAGUGGACGCAUCACUGGUGUUCGGGUUGUCAUGCCAAUGGCACUGCCCGGUAGCUAAAUGCGGAAGAGAUAAGUGCUGAAAGCAUCUAAGCACGAAACUUGCCCCGAGAUGAGUUCUCCCUGACUCCUUGAGAGUCCUGAAGGAACGUUGAAGACGACGACGUUGAUAGGCCGGGUGUGUAAGCGCAGCGAUGCGUUGAGCUAACCGGUACUAAUGAACCGUGAGGCUUAACCUUACAACGCCGAAG
rnacentral:rRNA from 1 species